rnacentral:rRNA from 1 species
UGCGUAGGCGGCUUUUUAAGUCGGAUGUGAAAUCCCUGAGCUUAACUUAGGAAUUGCAUUCGAUACUGGGAAGCUAGAGUAUGGGAGAGGAUGGUAGAAUUCCAGGUGUAGCGGUGAAAUGCGUAGAGAUCUGGAGGAAUACCGAUGGCGAAGGCAGCCAUCUGGCCUAAUACUGACGCUGAGGUACGAAAGCAGUGGGGAGCGAACA